rnacentral:lncRNA from 1 species
GAGUGUCACAUCAGACCUUGAAUGUGAAUGAGUCAAAGGCACCCUGUUGUGCUCACGUUAAUUACAAGGGGGAGGUCCAGGAACUGGGCAGGGUAGAAGUGGAGCAGGACAUCUGUGUCCUCAGGAGGAUCCUGUGGUUCCAGCAGAAACCACUGAACAGGUAGCAGGUCUUUAAACAGAAAAGGUCAUAUUUUGAGAAGUGAAAUGAGAACCCAGCCCUCUUUGCAAAAAAUGUGGAUUACUGGCUUUGUGUUUAAACCAGUUAUUCUAAGAACGUGAACAGUCUUGAGAUCACUUGCUUAUCUUCCAACCCAAAACUGUACGAAAGGAACCUCCUCUCGGGGAAGUAAGUAAUAUUUAGUUAUUUCCCAGAAUAUCUCAGUUGAGUAUCAAAUACAUAGAGAAAUGCCUGAAAAAUUCCCAAGAGUUUCACUGUUAUUUUGCCAUCAGUAAUAUCAGCAAGGCAGGGCAGAGACCUUGCUCUUAAAAGCCCCUGUAAAUGUUUUUACUUGGUUGAGUCCCACCAAUAGUUAGGCCCACAGUUACCAAUAAUGUAUCAAAAAAACUUGAUACAGGGAUAAAAAUAAAUAAAUAAAAUACAAACAAUCUAUACUUCAAAAUAGACAAGAGCCUUAACCUUAAAACAAACAAACAAACAAACAAACAAAAACAGAAGCUGGGAAAGAAUGCUAGCUCAACUAAUGGCCACGCUCUGAAAGACUUUGGAGUCCUCAUGUUUGGGAGGAUUUUACCUUCAGUGACUUGAAUCCAUGAAAAGACAUAUCUGUGACUGAAGUGAUACAAGACGUGAAUCUGUCAGAGCAAAAGACAGCGACAGUCAAUACCUUCUACAUAAAUAAGAAACCAGAAGCUAUCUGAGCCACCAGGUUCAAAGAACAGCUUUCAGCUAUUGCUACUUAUAAAAGAUUCACUUU